rnacentral:rRNA from 1 species
GACGAACGCUGGCGGCGUGCUUAACACAUGCAAGUCGAACGGUAAGGCCCUUCGGGGUACACGAGUGGCGAACGGGUGAGUAACACGUGGGUGAUCUGCCCUGCACUUCGGGAUAAGCCUGGGAAACUGGGUCUAAUACCGGAUAGGACCACUGCCUGCAUGGGUGGCGGUGGAAAGCUUUUGCGGUGUGGGAUGGGCCCGCGGCCUAUCAGCUUGUUGGUGGGGUGAUGGCCUACCAAGGCGACGACGGGUAGCCGGCCUGAGAGGGUGACCGGCCACACUGGGACUGAGAUACGGCCCAGACUCCUACGGGAGGCAGCAGUGGGGAAUAUUGCACAAUGGGCGCAAGCCUGAUGCAGCGACGCCGCGUGAGGGAUGACGGCCUUCGAGUUGUAAACCUCUUUCAGCACCGACGAAGCGCAAGUGACGGUAGGUGCAGAAGAAGGACCGGCCAACUACGUGCCAGCAGCCGCAGUAA